rnacentral:rRNA from 1 species
CAGUAGCCGCGGUAAUACGAAGGGGGCUAGCGUUGUUCGGAUUUACUGGGCGUAAAGCGCGUGUAGGCGGGCCGCCACGUCGGUUGCUGAAAUCCCCCGGCUCAACCGGGGAAGUGGCAUCGAUACGAGCGGCCUUGAGGGGGGUAGGGGGAUCUGGAACUUCCGGUGGAGCGGUGAAAUGCGUUGAGAUCGGAAGGAACGCCCGUGGCGAAAGCGAGGUCCUGGACCCUUUCUGACGCUGAGACGCGAAAGCCAGGGGAGCAAACAGGAUUAGAUACCCGCGUAGUCCCUGUCUCUUAUA